rnacentral:rRNA from 1 species
AAAGGGGCAAAUGCUCCACUACAAGAUGGACCUGCGUUGUAUUAGCUAGUAGGUGAGGUAACGGCUCACCUAGGCGACGAUACAUAGCCGACCUGAGAGGGUGAUCGGCCACACUGGGACUGAGACACGGCUCAGACUCCUACGGGAGGCAGCAGUAGGGAAUCUUCGGCAAUGGGGGCAACCCUGACCGAGCAACGCCGCGUGAGUGAAGAAGGUUUUCGGAUCGUAAAGCUCUGUUGUAAGUCAAGAACGAGUGUGAGAGUGGAAAGUUCACACUGUGACGGUAGCUUACCAGAAAGGGACGGCUAACUACGUGCCAGCAGCCGCGGUAAUACGUAGGUCCCGAGCGUUGU